UGAAAUAUACCUCUUUCUAAUUUACAAAC
rnacentral:piRNA from 1 species